GGGGGCGACCUGGUUUCGACGUGGUCGGGGGACCGGGGACUGCAUGCCGAGAUCCCGCCAGUCUCGUUAAACGGGUGGAAACCAAUUAAGUGACGAAAACAACUUCGCACUGGCGGCUUAGUUAAGCUGCCCGUCCCGGCGGUGGGGGGCCACCGUACCGCCGCCAAGGGGCGCCAUUUACGGUGGAUAGUUCCGCGUCAGGCCUCUGGUCGCGGGGCGAAACAAAAGUGAGGCUAGCCCCUGAAGCGGCGGGCCGCUGGGCCUCUUCCCGGGUUAAACAACAAGCGGCUAAGCAUGUAGAUGUCGCCGGGGAACCGGUUACGGACGCGGGUUCGAUUCCCGCCGCCUCCACCA
rnacentral:tmRNA from 1 species